rnacentral:rRNA from 1 species
GUGAACGCUGGCGGUAGGCCUAACACAUGCAAGUCGAACGGCAGCACAGUAAGAGCUUGCUCUUACGGGUGGCGAGUGGCGGACGGGUGAGGAAUACAUCGGAAUCUACUUUUUCGUGGGGGAUAACGUAGGGAAACUUACGCUAAUACCGCAUACGACCUACGGGUGAAAGCAGGGGAUCUUCGGACCUUGCGCGAUUGAAUGAGCCGAUGUCGGAUUAGCUAGUUGGCGGGGUAAAGGCCCACCAAGGCGACGAUCCGUAGCUGGUCUGAGAGGAUGAUCAGCCACACGGGAACUGGGACGCGGUCCAGACUACUGCGGGAGGCAGCAGUGGGGAAUAUUGGACAGUGGGCGCAAGCCUGAUCCAGCCAUACCGCGUGGGUGAAGAAGGCCUUCGGGUUGUAAAGCCCUUUUGUUGGGAAAGAAAAGCAGCAGGUUAAUACCCCGCUGUUCUGACGGUACCCAAAGAAUAAGCACCGGCUAACUUCGUG